rnacentral:rRNA from 1 species
UGAGACACGGUCCAAACUCCUACGGGAGGCAGCAGUGAGGAAUAUUGGUCAAUGGGCGUUAGCCUGAACCAGCCAAGUAGCGUGAAGGAUGAAGGCUCUAUGGGUCGUAAACUUCUUUUAUAUAAGAAUAAAGUGCAGUAUGUAUACUGUUUUGUAUGUAUUAUAUGAAUAAGGAUCGGCUAACUCCGUGCCAGCAGCCGCGGUAAUACGGAGGAUCCGAGCGUUAUCCGGAUUUAUUGGGUUUAAAGGGAGCGUAGGUGGACUGGUAAGUCAGUUGUGAAAGUUUGCGGCUCAACCGUAAAAUUGCAGUUGAUACUGUCAGUCUUGAGUACAGUAGAGGUGGGCGGAAUUCGUGGUGUAGCGGUGAAAUGCUUAGAUAUCACGAAGAACUCCGAUUGCGAAGGCAGCUCACUGGACUGCAACUGACACUGAUGCUCGAAAGUGUGGGUAUCAAACAGGAUUAGAUACCCUGGUAGUCCACACAGUAAACGAUGAAUACUCGCUGUUUGCGAUAUACAGUAAGCGGCCAAGCGAAAGCGUUAAGUAUUCCACCUGGGGAGUACGCCGGCAACGGUGAAACUCAAAGGAAUUGACGGGGGCCCGCACAAGCGGAGGAACAUGUGGUUUAAUUCGAUGAUACGCGAGGAACCUUACCCGGGCUUAAAUUGCAAAUGAAUGUUCUGGAAACAGAUCAGCCGCAAGGCAUUUGUGAAGGUGCUGCAUGGUUGUCGUCAGCUCGUGCCGUGAGGUGUCGGCUUAAGUGCCAUAACGAGCGCAACCCUUAUCUUUAGUUACUAACAGGUUAUGCUGAGGACUCUAGAGAGACUGCCGUCGUAAGAUGUGAGGAAGGUGGGGAUGACGUCAAAUCAGCACGGCCCUUACGUCCGGGGCUACACACGUGUUACAAUGGGGGGUACAGAAGGCAGCUAGCGGGUGACCGUAUGCUAAUCCCAAAAUCCUCUCUCAGUUCGGAUCGAAGUCUGCAACCCGACUUCGUGAAGCUGGAUUCGCUAGUAAUCGCGCAUCAGCCACGGCGCGGUGAAUACGUUCCCGGGCCUUGUACACACCGCCCGUCAAGCCAUGGGAGCCGGGGGUACCUGAAGUACGUAACCGCAAGGAUCGUCCUAGGGUAAAACUGGUGACUGGGGCUAAGUCGUAACAAGGUAGCCGUACCGGAAGGUGCGGCUG